UCAUCAAGCUUUUUGUGAAUUCUGACGCAGAUUAUCGUUUGCCAUCUCCAAAGUAGUAUAAAUACAAUACACUCAAUUUACAAUUAUGUUCAUUCCAUAAAACAAGGUCUACAUAUACAAAUUAAGGAAAUUAAAUUAUCAUGAAGGCUGUUGCAGUAGUACUAGUUCUACUUCUGCACGGCUAGAACAAGAAGGCGGAAUUACUUGUAGUCGAGUAGAUGCCAGUUUGGCACCCUGUAUCACGUUCCUGACACAGGGUGGAGAGCCCGGUGCAGCCUGUUGCAGCGGGGUCAACACCUUGAAGGGUAUACCUGGGUCCACUAAUGAGGAGAGGCUUGUUUGCAAUUGUGUUAGGGCUGCAGUGAAUCGAUACUCCAACCUUAAAGAUGAUGCUGCACAGGUUCUCCCCAGAAAGUGCAGCGUAUCGCUCAACUACCCUAUCUCCAGGACCUACAACUGUGACCCGUAAGAAUUUAACUUAUAUAUACUAACAACAUGAAAUAAUUUUUAUUGUGUUAAGUUAUCUAAUUAAUUAAGGUAACAACAAGUAAACCGUCCAUAUUAAGUUAGAUUAGUAAUAACUUAGAAAUUAGGGUGUAUGACCUGCUACAACUCUUUAAAAUAUCAAGUAUUGAUAUUAUAAAAUUAAAAUUGUUCGCACUUUUAAUAUUUGUAGCUUAAAUCUGACAUAUAUUUUAAAUAGUUUAGAUGUUUCUACUAUUUAAAUUUUAUGCUCAGUCAAAUUCUUCAUGUACAUAAUUUCUAUUUACUAAUUUUGCUUUUUUCUAUCCUCUUUUGCAGAUUCGCUUAACUAAAUUACUAAACCAGAUGGGAAUAGUGUUUCGCAAUGGUGUUGGUUUAGUUUAGUUAUAUCUACAUAUAUGUAUUAUAAAUAAACAAAGGGUUGUUAAACCCUUGAACAUUGUAUAUACUCAAUAACUAUGAAGUAAUUUUGGUAUUUUACUAAUUAGUUAAUGAUAAUGUUGUCUAUAAUAAGAGUUCAAAUGAUCUAUUGAUAGAUGUUAGUACUCUUUUGUUUUUGCUUUUUAACAUAUGUCUUCUGUCGAUAAUAAGUAGUAUUAAAAUGGUCUAUACAAUAUAUGUAACCGUUGUCUUUUGUCUCUUCUUUUUACAGAUGCCUUCUGUCUAUAAUAAGAGUUCAAAUGGUUUAUAAAUUUGAAAUGUUCAUCAUCAACCUUAAGCCGCUCAAAUCUGAAAUAUUCAUCUCUUACCUUGAACUCAAAUCUAAAAUUUUAUUCGAAAUCAACUUAAAUUUUCUCUAAAUAAAACUCAAUAAACUUUGAGAUUUAGACUCUUCAAAAGGUCCCCAACAAAACACAAUAAUACCCACUUGAAAUAAAUUACGUACUCCUCUGCAAAAUAUUUUUUAUAUCCAUGUUAUGUCAAACAUUUAACAUUUUCGUUAAGAGCUCUUGUUCAUCCUCUUUUUGUGACUGUAGGCAAUAUGAUCAUCCUACGAUAACAAUUGAGAAAUUAAUUAGAGAUUAAAAUUGCUGAAUUGGAUAACAAUGGAGAAGCUAGGGAUAUCGUCAAUGGCUAAACUAGAAAAGUUUUCCAUCUUUAUUAGGGAGUGAUUAUUGGAUAAAAAAACUUUAUUCUUUUGUCGGAAAAGGGUACGAAAGGAGAGAAAACUGAGGAGCUUUUUGAAGGAAGAAGUUUAUUUUUAUGUCUAAUUUGAGCUUUUUAAUUGAAAACGUUACAGAUAAACAUAGUUUAGUUUCGGGCUUGUUGGUGACGUAGCAAACAGCUACGAGUUGAGUUGUAGUUAAGACUUAAGACUUGGUUUUUUUUUUUUUGGAAUAAGAUGGAUUGUUCGAUUAAAAAAAAAAUUUAAAAAACAUUGGGGAUAUAGAUUUUUUAUUUUUUUUUUUCAAAAUUUUUAGGGUGGGAUGCAAGUCUUUUAAGGGGUCGUUUGGUUGGAAAAUUAUUAUCUCGGGAUAAUUAAUUCUGGGAUUAGUUAUCCUGGGAUUAUCCGGGUAUAACUUACUCCAUCAUCCAUAUGGGAUAACUUAUCCAUCGCUAUGAUGUAAAUGGUGGGAUAAGUUAUUCCGAUAUUAACUAAUACCUCUAAUCAAACAUGGGAUAAAAUAAUUUUUCAUUUUAUCCCAGAACUAUUUAUCCCUUAUACCUCACAUCAAAUGAUCCCUUACCCUUAAGACUUUGGGAAUGAGACUCUGAUAUUUUUAAAACAUUGUAGCUGCCAUGCAAAUCUAAGACUUUGGAGAUUGAAGACUAUUUUAUAUUUUUCAACACUUUAAUACUAGGGUUGAUAACUUUUUAAAUUCUUAAAAGAACGACAGUAUAAGGCUAUAAGCACGUAGCCUAUUAUAAGAACAAGUAACGCGUCAAUAUAAUCCAGUCCAAAUUAGAGUUAAAUGUUGAUGUAGAGGUACUAGCAAAAACCAAAAUUAAAAUAUCACAUUGUGUCAUCUUUGCUAGCUAUAUUAGGCAUAUAUUCAAUGCAAAUGCUAUCUAGUUUAGGUAGAAGUUACAGGACAAGUAAACACAUAAUGAAAAACACGGAAUAUGUAAAUACAAUGUAAUGCUAUAUAUGAUGACGUGAAUGAUUGAAAGUCAUUGCAUGAUUUUUUAUAAAUAUCUAACGAGUCUCAAUAUUUUCAAAGUAGGAUUCAUGGAGGGUUCACAAUCCGUUUACUAUCUCAAAUUUCUACUAAUCUCAAUCUCAUGUCUCAAUAUAUCCGAUCGACACACCCCUCAGUUGUAACGCCCCGCAUUUUGGGCUAGAAUAAAAACCAUGAUUUUGAUGCGUUGCUAAUCCCGAAGCCAUAAAAUCCUAUGUCAAUACGACAUGUUAAUUAUUGUGUAGCAUGUGAAUCCGCUCAAGCUUGAAUUUAGACCAUAGAGGUCCUUCAACUCAAGGACGAGUUGAAACUAUUUCGGUCGACUAAGUUUUAGUGGACGUUGUAAAGUGUGUCAGCUUCCAUCGACCAUAAUUCUUUGUAUAUGUCGAAUUAGGAAGCCUACUAUAUGUCAAAUGAUAGGUAUUCGAGUUAGCUUUGCAACAAUACCAAUUUGGCUACCCGAGCAAGAAGUUAUGGCCCUUCAAAGUGAUAAGCGUCGCCUAACCAAUCGCCUAUGGCCACUGGAAAGCAUAGGCGAUAGCCUAGGUGGCGCCUAUGUAAACAUAGGCAACGGGAUGGGCGGCGCCUAUGUAAGGAAUUCUGGNNNNNNNNNNNNNNNNNNNNNNNNNNNNNNNNNNNNNNNNNNNNNNNNNNNNNNNNNNNNNNNNNNNNNNNNNNNNNNNNNNNNNNNNNNNNNNNNNNNNNNNNNNNNNNNNNNNNNNNNNNNNNNNNNNNNNNNNNNNNNNNNNNNNNNNNNNNNNNNNNNNNNNNNNNNNNNNNNNNNNNNNNNNNNNNNNNNNNNNNNNNNNNNNNNNNNNNNNNNNNNNNNNNNNNNNNNNNNNNNNNNNNNNNNNNNNNNNNNNNNNNNNNNNNNNNNNNNNNNNNNNNNNNNNNNNNNNNNNNNNNNNNNNNNNNNNNNNNNNNNNNNNNNNNNNNNNNNNNNNNNNNNNNNNNNNNNNNNNNNNNNNNNNNNNNNNNNNNNNNNNNNNNNNNNNNNNNNNNNNNNNNNNNNNNNNNNNNNNNNNNNNNNNNNNNNNNNNNNNNNNNNNNNNNNNNNNNNNNNNNNNNNNNNNNNNNNNNNNNNNNNNNNNNNNNNNNNNNNNNNNNNNNNNNNNNNNNNNNNNNNNNNNNNNNNNNNNNNNNNNNNNNNNNNNNNNNNNNNNNNNNNNNNNNNNNNNNNNNNNNNNNNNNNNNNNNNNNNNNNNAUAUUGAUGACUUACAAGUCGGGUAUGACGAUACCCUACAGAAUAUGAUAUGCGAUUGAAUAAGAUGAAAUUUGAAUGCAUUGAUUUUACAUGAGAAAGGUGGAUGCCCGAAGAAGGCGUUUGAGACACAAGUGGCUCAUCGCUGGAAGAACAUGUUUGCCGACACGGAAUAUCGGUACCAUGCUUUAUGGUCUUGCGUACCUGAUAUUAUAUUAUUUCAAAUUGGGAUUAUGAUUAGGAGCCGUGAUUUGUGGUCUUGUGCACUACCAUAUUUGAUUUGGGUCGAGACACCAUGCUUUGUGGUCUUGUGUGUCUCUCCCUCACUUAUACUCUAAUCUCGGCGGCAACCGAGGUUUGACAAUUGGUGUAAAUUAUGUAGGUUAUUCCACCUAGCUCAGUUGCAUUUCAUUAUUAUUGAGAAAAACUAUUGCAUUACACCCAUGUGUUUUCAAAUGAUUUGAUACGAAAUUGCUUUAUAAUGGCUCUCAACUAUAUUUUGUAAAAUAUUAUGUUUGGCUUUGAUAUCUCUGCGUGCCAGUACUUUUGUGCUUACCCCCUCCCCUCUCCAACCUCUCAGGUUCAGAGGCCCAGUCUAGGGUUCAAGAGAAUCAAUAGAACUUUUAGACAGAGCUGUAGAGACAAGUGGUGAGCCUUCUAUGUUUCGAUGUCCUGCAGUCCUUUUAUCUUAUAUUCAGUUUUGGGGGUCUGCUGGGGGCCUUGUCCCAGUUUUCAGAUAGAUAUUAUUUCAGUCAUGUAGUAGAGAUUUCGCAGAUGGUUUUAGAGAUGUUGAUUUAGAUUGUGGGACACUAUUCCCCAUUUUCGUUUUCAUAUGAUUCUUGACCAUGUUUCCGUUAUAUUAUGUUUCUUCCGCAUUACUUUGAUCAUAUGAAUUAGGUUCAUGAUUACCAGACAGAUAGGGGUGUUUCGGGCCUCCAUAGUUUGAAAUGCUCGUCACGGCCAGGCCCUGGUGUGGGUUGUGACAAACUUGGUAUCAAAGCACGGUUCAUGGUCCCAGGGUUUCUGCAAAAUCGCGUCAGAUAGAGUCUUAUUUAUAGGUAUGUAGCGCGCCACACUUAUAAGCAGGAGGCUGCUAGGCAUUUAGGAAAUGUUUCCCUUCUUUGUGAUUUAGUUCGUGCUUCAGAGUCUGAACUCCCUAAUCAAUGAUCACUUGUGUUUCAGAAACACAGUUAUGCCUCCACGUCGUAUCGUCGAUCAGAAUGCUCAGGCAGAUGAGGUUCGUCUCACCCAUGGGAUGCGGACCCAUAACAGGUCUUAUACUCCAGAAUUUGGUCCUACUCCAGGAGUCCCUCCAGUCCCGACCAGUCCACCUCGGGCUCCGCGGACUAAUGCCAACCGUCCUCCAACUGCUCAGGGAGAUAUUUCAAAUGUAAAAUUCAACUGAUCUAUUCAUAUGCUGACACAGUUAGUAGCUAACCAGGCUCAAUGAUCGGACGGAAGAUGUUGGGUCUGGAUCUGUUACAUCUGAGGCUACUAGAGUUAGACAUUUCAUAAAGAUGAACCCACCUAAGUUCACUGGAACCAAGGUGGAGGAAGAGCUAUAGGAGUUCGUGGAUGAGAUGGAAAAGAUCUUUAAGUUGAUGCAUAUGGAUGAGGUUGAAGAGGUGGAACUAGCAACCUAUCAGCUCAAGGACAUUGCGAACCAGUGGUAUGCCGAUUGGGAAGAUGAAAAAGGUGAAAGUGUUGAGCCCACAGUUUGGGGCGAAUUUGUGGAAGCUUUCCCUGAUCGAUUCUUUCCUCUGGAGUUGAAGGAGGCCAAAGCGGAAGAGUUUAUAAAUCUGAAGCAGGGAAGUAUGAGUGUCCAGGAGUACACUUUGAAGUUUAAUAAACUAGCCCGCUAUGCACCAGAGUUGACUAGUAAUAUGAGGGCCCGGAUGAGAAAAUUUACAUCCGGCCUUACUGAUGACCUAGUACUUGAGUGCCAGGGGACUAUGUUGAAUAAGGAGUUAGACUUUGCUCGACUAACCAUUUAUAUACAUCAAGUGGAAGAGAAAAAUAAAAAGAUUCCUGAAUCUAAAGAGAAAGACAAACAAGCUAAAAGAGCUAGAUCUGUGGAUCAGCAACAGAGUCAAUCAUAGAGUGGCAACUGGGGUAAUAAGUGGUCGAAGAAGAAGAAGUUUUGGAAUAAUUCACAGUCAGCAGCCAGCGCCCCAGCACCCAGACCACCGAUAGAUAAACAAACUCAGGGUUUUCAUACUCCUCAUGGGUCCAAAGCUCUAGGUACACAGUCUCAGGGAAGUAUGGCCCAGCAGCAGCGCACUCAUCCGCAGUGUGAGGUUUUACGGAAGGAAUCAUCUAGGGAAGUGCUGGUUUGAGGGGAGAAACUGCUAUACUUGUGGCAAAGUGGGUCAUUUUCAGAGAGAUUGUCCAUCUGCUGGAGUAAAUGCGAGGGGGGCUAAGUCCCAAGCCGCCUCUACAGCUCCUUUUCCUAAGGGUGUCCUUUCAGCUGCCGAAAGCGGUCGCAACCGGUUAUAUUCUUUGAAUAACCGCCAGGAGGCGAAAGCUUCACCAGAUGUUGUCACCGGUAUGUUACGAAUCUUUUCUCGUGAUGUUUAUGUAUUGCUUGAUCCCGGGACUACUUUAUCCUACGUGACCCCUUAUGUGGCUGUUGGUUUUGGGUUUGACCUGAAGUUAUUGUAGAACCCUUCUUUGUUUCUACUCCUGUAGGUGAUUCUGUUGUUGCUAGAAGGGUAUAUAGAAAUUAUGUCGUGUCUGUUCAUAGUAGGAAAACUGUGGCAGACUAUAUAGAACUGGAUAUGAUAGAUUUUGAUGCCACCCUUGGGAUGGACUGGAUCCAUUCGUGCAAUGCCACUCUUGAUUGCAGAACCCGAAAGGUCAUUUUUUCUUUCCCGAAUAAGACACCAGUUAUAUGGGCAGGGAGUUCUGUGGAACCUAGAGGUCACUUUAUCUCUUAUCUUAGAGCCCGAAAGCUUAUCUCCAAAGGUUGUAUGUAUCAUCUAAUCCGAGUAAAAGAUUCAAAAGUUGGAAACCUUCCUCUACAGUCAGUCCCUGUAGUGAAUGAAUUCCCAGAAGUCUUUCCCGAAGAUAUCCCAGGGAUACCCCCUGAUAGGGAGAUAGAUUUUGGCAUUGAUGUGUUGCCAGACACUCGUCCUAUUUCUAUUCCGCCAUAUAGAAUGGCUCCCGCGGAACUAAAGGAGUUAAAGGAACAGUUUGCAGACCUCAUAGACAAAGGUUUUAUUCGUCCUAGUAUUUCCCCAUGGGGUGCACCCGUGUUCUUCGUGCGAAAGAAGGAUGGGACCCUUUAGAGGUGCAUAGACUACCGUCAGUUGAAUAAGGUCACGAUUAAAAAUAAAUAUCCUCCUCCUAGGAUUGAUGACUUUUUUGACCAGCUGCAGGAUGCCAAGUAUUUUUCAAAAAUAGACCUUCAUUCGGGUUAUCAUCAGUUAAAAUUUAGGGAGUCAGACAUACCCAAGACAGCCUUUCAAACCCGAUAUGGUCACUACGAAUUUCUAGUCAUGUCCUUCGGGUUGACUAACGCCCCUGCAGCCUUCAUGGAUCUUAUAAAUAGAGUAUUCCAUCAGUUUCUUGACUUGUUCGUCAUUGUAUUUAUUGAUGAUAUUCUGAUCUAUUCUUGCCAAGUGUUUUUCAAAAAUAGACCUUUGUUUGGGUUAUCAUCAGUUGAAAGUUAGGGAGUCAGACAUACCCAAGAUAGCUUUCCGAACCCGAAAUGGUCACUACGAAUUUCUAGUCAUGUCCUUCGGGUUGACUAAUGCCCCUGCAUCCUUCAUGGAUCUUAUGAAUAGAGUUUUCCGUCAUUUUCUUGACUUGUUCGUCAUUGUAUUCAUUGAUGAUAUUCUAAUCUAUUCUAAGAGUAAAGAGGAACACGCCAAUCACCUCCGAAUUAUCCUUCAGACCCUUAAGGAUCAUCAGCUGUAUGCCAAAUUUUAUAAGUGUGAAUUCUGGUUAGACGCUAUUGCCUUCUUGGGGAAUUUUAUGUCCAGUGACGGGAUAAGAGUGGAUCCCCAGAAAGUUGAAGCAGUGAGAAAAUGGCCCAGACCCACGACUCCAACCGAUAUUUGGAGCUUCUUGGGUUUGGCGGGGUAUUACAGAAGGUUCGUAGAGAGUUUUUCUUCCAUAGCUGCUCCGCUUACUAAACUAACUCAGAAAAAGAUAAAGUUUGUGUGGUAUGACUUGUGUGAAAACAGUUUUGAGAAGUUGAAGGACAGACUACUGCUCCUAUUUUGACCCUUCCCGAAGGUGUAGAUGAUUUUGUUGUUUAUUAUGAUGCGUCCCGUGUGGGACUUGGUUGUGUAUUGAUACAGCGUGGUAAGGUGAUAGCUUAUGUAUCUAGGCAGUUAAAGGUGCAUGAGCGCAAUUACCCCACUCAUGACUUAGAGUUAGCAGCCGUGGUGUUUGCACUUAGAAUCUGGAGGCGCUAUCUCUAUGGAGUGCAUGUUGAUAUUUAUACUGACCAUAAGAGUUUACAGUAUGUUUUCUCACAGAAAGAAUUGAACCCCAGGCAGAGGCGUUGGAUAGAGCUUUUGAAAGACUAUAAUAUGAUUCUGCAUUACCAUCCGGGCAAGGCAAAUGUUGUAGCCGACGCCCUCAGCAGGUUGUCUACGGGCAGCCUUUCUCAUGUAGAAGAAGGAAAGAAAGAGAUGGUGAAUGAUAUUCACCGCCUUGCAAAUCUGGGAGUGUGACUCUUAGAUUCCGAAGAUGGAGGGGUGAUUGUUCAUGAGUUAGCUAUGUCAUUUCUUUGUGCUAAAGUUAAGGAGAAGCAGGUUGAAGAUCCCAUCUUGAUGAAAAUCAAGAAAGAUGUGGGUCAACAAAAGGUUAUGUCGUUUGAAAUUGGUGGCGAUGGUAUUUUGAGAUUUCGGGGUAGGUUGUGCAUUUUGAAUGUCGAUGGGAUACGGGAAAGAAUCCUUAAUGAGGCACACACUUCGAGGUAUGUCAUUCACCCAGGCUCUACUAAGAUGUACCUUUAUCUGAAAACCUUGUAUUGGUGGAAUAACAUGAAACGUGAUGUAGUUGAUUUUGUGUCCAAGUGUUUGAACUGUCAACAAGUGAAGGUAGAACACAUGAGGCCAAGUGGUACUUCCCANNNNNNNNNNNNNNNNNNNNNNNNNNNNNNNNNNNNNNNNNNNNNNNNNNNNNNNNNNNNNNNNNNNNNNNNNNNNNNNNNNNNNNNNNNNNNNNNNNNNNNNNNNNNNNNNNNNNNNNNNNNNNNNNNNNNNNNNNNNNNNNNNNNNNNNNNNNNNNNNNNNNNNNNNNNNNNNNNNNNNNNNNNNNNNNNNNNNNNNNNNNNNNNNNNNNNNNNNNNNNNNNNNNNNNNNNNNNNNNNNNNNNNNNNNNNNNNNNNNNNNNNNNNNNNNNNNNNNNNNNNNNNNNNNNNNNNNNNNNNNNNNNNNNNNNNNNNNNNNNNNNNNNNNNNNNNNNNNNNNNNNNNNNNNNNNNNNNNNNNNNNNNNNNNNNNNNNNNNNNNNNNNNNNNNNNNNNNNNNNNNNNNNNNNNNNNNNNNNNNNNNNNNNNNNNNNNNNNNNNNNNNNNNNNNNNNNNNNNNNNNNNNNNNNNNNNNNNNNNNNNNNNNNNNNNNNNNNNNNNNNNNNNNNNNNNNNNNNNNNNNNNNNNNNNNNNNNNNNNNNNNNNNNNNNNNNNNNNNNNNNNNNNNNNNNNNNNNNNNNNNNNNNNNNNNNNNNNNNNNNNNNNNNNNNNNNNNNNNNNNNNNNNNNNNNNNNNNNNNNNNNNNNNNNNNNNNNNNNNNNNNNNNNNNNNNNNNNNNNNNNNNNNNNNNNNNNNNNNNNNNNNNNAUCAAAGUGACAGACUCCUUGUCUUACGAAGAAGAGCCCGUUGAAAUUUUAGAUUGCCAAGUUCGAAAGCUGAGGAGCAAAGAGAUAGCCUCGGUAAAGGUACUGUGGAGGAAUCAGAAAGUCGAAGAAGCAACUUGGGAGUCAGAAAAUGACAUGAGAAUUAGAUAUCCCAAUUUGUUUACUUCAAUGGAGGAGGAGACAGAAGGUACUAUUCCUAUCUUGUCUUUCCUAGUCUGUUAUUAUGCUUGAAAUCGUGUCUUUCUGUGUCCCGCAUCAUCAUUCGGGGACGAAUGAUCCUCAGGGGGGAUAAUGUAACGCCCCGCAUUUUGGGCUAGAAUAAAAACCAUGAUUUUGAUGCGUUGCUAAUCCCGAAGCCAUAAAAUCCUAUGCCAAUACGGCAUGUUAAUUAUUGUGUAGCAUGUGAAUCCACUCAAGCUUGAAUUUAGACCAUAGAGGCCCUUCAACUCAAGGACGAGUUGAAACUAUUUCGGUCGACUAAGUUUAGUGGACGUUGUAAAGUGUGUCAGCUUCCAUCGACCAUAAUUCUCUGUUUAUGUCGAAUUAGGAAGCCUACUAUGUGUCAAAUGAUAGGUAUUCGAGUUAGCUUUCCAACAAUACCAAUUUGGCUAAAAUCCAACACUCGAGCAAGAAGUUAUGGCCCUUCAAAGUGAUAGCCACUCUCAUAUGCUUAACUAUAUAUAACUGGAAAUGCGCUAAAAUUAAAAUAUAACUUUACCUUUCGUUCUUUCCUUUUCAUUGACAAUUUCUUUUUCAUUCAAACUCCUAAUUCUCCAUUCCAUUGCUUUUUCUGAUACUCAUCUUUACCUUUUUCAUUGCACAAACUUUGUAUAAAUCUCUAUAAUCUGUAUUCAAUUAGCUUCAUAUAGUUUUUCACCAAUAAAUGUUAAAUCGUCCUCAAUAAAUUCAUAAACAGAUAAAGGAUCGUCUUUCACCACUUUCUUGCUUGCUCUUUCAUUUGAUGGACCCGAUUUUCCUACCAUUUUCAACAAAAAUUUCAAAAUCAAAUAGAGGAUUUCGAAGCAAAGUAAGAAUUUUUAGGUAGAUUAUACGGUAGAAAAGUGUAACAAAAGAAGAUUUGUUGAUAUCAAACUAUAGAGUAAAAAUAUACUCCUGUUUCUAUCUUUUUUUUAAAUUGUUAUUUGUCUUAGCCAGGCGGUUAAUAGAAAAUAGCUACUAUAUAUGUUUGCACCUACUGUAUCAAUGUGGUAUAAAAGUGUAUCAAUCUAGUAUAGAAGCGUAUCAAUUGGAUAUAUGGACACGACAUAUGUAUGCAUAGAUUCCCCUUCUAUUUUAUUAUAUAAGUGUAUCAAUGUGGUAUAAAAAGUAUCAAUUGGGUAUAGGAUCCCCUCUUUUUUUGUAAAAAGUGUAUCAAUGUAAUAUAAAAGUGUAUCAAUUAGGUAUAGAAACUGCAUGUGGCAAACUGGACCAAUGACUAAAAGAGGAAAUAAAUUGGGCUGACUGGCUACGGUUAUCCACAUUUUCAAAUUAUAAAUUAUUUUUUUCCUUUUUAAAAUGGUCAACCCAUGUCCUUUCCUCUAAAAAUAUUGGGGAUAGAGAACUUUGUGAUAUGUUCAAAGUUUUUGGGCUUGGGAAUGCAAGUCUGUUAAAACUUUGGAGAUGAAGAGUGAGGACUUUGAUAUUUUUCAAAACUUUGGAGUUGAGGUGUAAACCUUCUAAGAUUUGGAGAUGGGGAUUAUUAAAACUUACACGCACCUGGUGUAUGCAUCAAGUCAAUACAUACAUGUCAUGUGUUUGAAUUUAAAGUUCAUGUUAAUUACUUAACCAUGGUAAAGAACAUUAGUUUGGUGUAUACAUCGGGUGCGUGUAAGUUUUUACCGGGACUAUUUUAUAUUUUUCAACACUUCAAUACUACGGUUGAUAACUUUUUAAAUUCUUUGCUCAUGCCAUGAAGGGCGUCAAUUUCACUAAUUUUUCGUUAUGUUUAUUUCACUAAUUAAAUUUUCAAAAUGACCUUUUAGUUGAGAGAAUCACAGUAAGCACUUAGCUUAUAAGAACAAGUAAUGCAUCAGUAUAAAUCAGCCCAAAUUAGAGUUAAAUGUUGAUGAAGAAGUAAUGCGUCAGUAUAAAUCGGUCCAAAUUAGAGUUAAAUGUUGAUGUAGAAGUAAUGCGUCAGUAUUAAUCAAUCCAAAUUAAAGUUAAAUGUUGAUGUAGAGGCACCUAGAAGAAAACCAAAAUUAAUAUCACACAGUGUAUGUCAUCUUUGCUAGCUAUAUAAGGCGUACACAUAAUAUAUAUCAUGUCCUAAUGUAUACAAUACCAAACCAAAGAAAAUCCAAAAUUAACAUUUAAAUUUUGUAAAUCCUGACGCACACUUUAUCCAUCGUUUGCCAUCUCCAAAUUAGUAUAAAUACACUAGACUCAAUUUACAAUUAUAUUAUUCCAUAAGAAAAAAUUACCAUAUAUACAAAUUAAGUAAAUUGAAUUAAGCUGCCAUGAAAGGUGUUGCAGUAGUACUAGUUCUAGUUGUGCUAGCCGUGGCUCAGCUAGCUAUGGCUGCACGGCUAGAACAACAGGGCGGACUCGCUUGUGGUCAUGUAGAUGACGUUUUGGGUCCCUGUUACUCGUUACUUGAAGGUCUUCGACGUGGCAGGCUUGAUUCAGCAUGCUGCACUGGGUUCAGAACCAUGAUUAUUAUAGCUCAGUCCACUGAGGAUAGGAGGUCUGCUUGCAACUGUGCUAAGGCUGCAGUGAACCGACGAAACUCCUCGAUUAAUGAAGAUCAAUCCAGGGCUCUUGCUAGCAAGUGUGGUGUUUCCUUUCCCUUCUAUAUCUCCAGGACCAUCAACUGUGACACGUAAGAGUUUAACUUACAUAUAUUGAUGAUAUGAAAUAGUUUUCAUAGUAUUAAAGUUAGCUAAUUAAAAGAUAACUACAUGUUUUAUACUUGUAUAUAUUUCAGAAGACUAAAAAAUUAAUAAUCACUAAUUUUGCUCCUCUUUAUCUUUUUGUGCAGAGUAAGUUAAAAUAGGCUGCAUGGUUCCGGGAAUAAUGCCAGUGGAGAUUCGAAUGCUGUCAUAAGUUUACUUUGUUAUGUAUUAAAUAAAAUAAGGCUUGUUAUAAACCCUUGAACGUUGUAUAUAUACUCAAUAACUAUGUGAGUAUUAACUUUACUGUUUUAUAUAUUUUGUGCUUGUAUAAUUUUACAAUAACUACGUGUUAAUGUAUUAAUCCAAUACGUUGUUGAUAAGAUUAAGCUAACAUACAGUUACAUAAAAUAUGAACUCCGAUUCUUAAUGUUACGAUCCAUAUUGUCUGCUUUGAAUCUAGGCCCACAAAUUUUGAAGGAAAAUUAACUUGGUGAUUUGCACAUAAUUAUAAGACAUAUCUUCUUCUAGGAUUCAUAUGUAUUACUAUCACCAAUUACCAAACAAUUUUUUAUAAGAUCACUUGUGGAGUCUUAUAUAUUGUUCACAACAUGACAAUAUAUAUUGAAACCUAUAGCUCCACUUGUCUUCAAUCAAGAGCUUCAUCACCGCUUAUCCAUUAACUCCCCACUUCAUUUAAAUAAAUAUAAUAUUUAUUUUUAUAUCAAUUGCUACUAUUUAAUAAUGUUGUCCUGGUAUAUAUAAUCUUAUUAAUUUACGUAAGACAUGUAAUAGUAUGACAUACAAUAAAGAAAAAGGAAGAGGAAAACGUUGAGGAGGGAGAGAGAGAGUAUGAAAGACAAUUGGUUGUAUUUCUUAUGGUAAAUGGAGGUGCUAUAUUUAUAGAUAUAGUGGUUAAUAGGCUUAGAAGGUUGACAAGUGGGCAACCACUUGUCCAAAUAUUUGCCUGCUGCAUUUUGGCAAGUAUCUUUAAUCAGCCAUUCUUCUCAAGAGUUGGCCAUUUGUUCACUUUACCAUUGCCAUUCACGGCUUAAAGAUUGCCUUGAGGAACAACCACUACAUGUCAAUAUGGCUGCGAAGAGCUCAUACAUUUUCUCUACAAUGAUCACCUACUUUAUACCUAUGUUGUCUGAUUGCAGCCCCCCAAACCUCCCAGCGGCUCAAGCAUAUUCGUAGCCUAAGAUGAAAAUCAAACGGAGACCUUAAAAUUUUAAGAAAAAAUAACUUUCUUUUAAUAAACUCUAUUUUUCAAAAUUAUAUAAUCGAUUUUUUUUUAAUUAUUCUUUUUUGAGUAAUAAUAUAAUCAAUGCAUUUAAUCUUUCUUGAGACAUAGUACUAUAGAUAUAUGAACUUCUUCUAAUAAUUCUUUCUUUUUAUAUAAAAAAUAUUAUUGUAAAAAAUAAGGUCCCUCAGAUUUAGAACCGCCGCCUAUUUUUUUUUAGGAUGUAGAGCCGCCCUAACCCCCAAACCCCAAAUCUAGCAUAGUUUUCGAGAGGCAAAUUAAAUGGUAGAUGCGCUAUCAAAAGAAGGGGUCUAGAAUAUUGGAAGCUAACUCUUUUGUGCAUAGAUCAGUUUUAUCUUUGUGUGGGGAAAGAAAAUUGGGAGCAAAUAAAGUGAGAAACACGAUUUAUUAGGCUAAUUAGGCCACUGCUUGCAUCAGAUAAUUGCAAUAUUAGUUACUGUACUAAUACCUCCACCCCACACAGAGCCUCCCACUAAACACAACUAGCGGAUGUUCCGCCCUGCCCCUAUGCACCGAUGAUGCAUUAGUUUCUAUUAAUGUAAAUACUAAUUCGUUGUCUAUCAAAUUGUUUUUUAGCCUAGACCCGCAUUCGCAAAAUAGCCCAAGAUCAUAUUAUUAUUAAGUGGUUAUAUGUGAGAUUUGGGUUGAUAAAUAGCACUUAUGGGUAGAGGUGAGUGUUCGGUAUUCGGUUCAGUAUUUUCAAAUUUUGGGUUCGAUAAUCUAUAUUUGAACAUAGAUACCACAUACCAUACUUAUAAACAUCGGUUCGGUAGUUUGGUAAUCGGUAAAUUAAACUUCGGUUCGGUUCGGUACGGUAUUUGGUAAUACCAUAUUAAAGUUGGAGAUGUGCAAAUGUAUGUUUAAACUUCAAAGAGUAUAUUUAAUAGAAACCUUAUUUAGUAUUCUUUUUGUUGCUUUUUGCGAAUAUAUUACCAAGAUUCUUUGGGAUGACUAGUACUAUUGUGUAUUGGGUUGGGUUAGACAUAUAUAUAUAUUCGAUAUACAGUAAAUGCCGAAUACCAAACGGUAUUAAUAUCCUGUACCAAACUCAAUCCCGAAUACCGAAAUAAUGAAAUUUUACUCCCAAAUACCAUACCAAAUAUCGAAUUACCGAAUAUCAAUUACCAAAUUUUUUAAUUCGGUUCGGCAAUUCGAUUUUUGGUAUUUUAUGCCUAGCCAUACUUGUGGGAGCAAAAUAGGUUAUGCAAAUUGUGAUAAUUGCUUAGGCAAGGCAAUGAUUCUUAUCUCCAAUUCUCUCUAGGCCUCUCAUCCCCUUCUAUUGUUAUUCCUUUUCUUCAUACUGUAAUUUCUCCUUCCGUAUUAAUCAAAGUUGAUUAGUUUUAUUCACUUUGUGUAUUGAUCAUUAAGUUGAGAAUUCGAAUUCGUUACACCGGGUUCGCUGAAGCACAUAGAACUUCAUCAAGAGGCCGCUCUAAGGGUAAGACUAUUAAAGUGUUUGCUUUAGGCCUUUAAAAUUUUAAAAUUUCAAAAAAAUUUAACUUAUAACUUGAAAUAAUAAUGAACAUUGUGAAAUAUGCUUAAAAAACUAUCUUACAAAAAUAUAAAAAAAAGAGCUAUCUAAUUUUUAUUAUAAAUAUUUUAGAACUUCAAAUUAAAUAACUUAAACUCCAUAUUAAUAAUUAAUGUUUUAACAACUACAUCAAAGUUUAUGUAUAGCAAACAAAUAGCUAACGUCUUAUUAACUAGAAUGAAUCUUUCUUUUAUUAAUAAUCAUGUUAUAUGUGAAGUUAAAGGUCAUAGUCUUUUAAACAUACUAGUUCAACCGAACGUGUAACCUUUGAUUUUUUAUAAUUAAAUGAUUUUAUCUAUUGCGAAGAUUUUUAAUGAAGUGUAAAAGUUUAAAUCCCUUUUCAAAAAUUCUUCACACUUUAAUAUAAUAAUUUAAAUUAAACAUAUAUUUUAGUGUUAGCAUGUUUAUAUGAAAAAUAUCACCUAAUAUUUUUUUGCCUCCUUUGAAAUUUAACCUAAAAUUUCAUAGUUUUCCUCCAACUUUAUUCACUACUAGGCGAUAUGCGACAAUGAAAAUAACUCUAAUUCAAUAGUUCUAUAUUUGAUAGAAACAAAAAAGAGAAAUCGAUUUAAUAGCAAUAACAGUAAAUCAGGAAUGAAUUAAUAUAACCGAAAAGACUAAUCCUCAUAUCUGAUUCAUCCACUCUGUUAUUAACCCCUUCAACUAACAUACCAAACUCAAAUAGAAUAAUCAAAAAUUCAACUAACAUACCAAACUCAAAUAGAACAACCAAAAAUAAUGGUGUCGUACACUAAGCAAACAACAAAAUGCAAUUACAAUAUUAUACCUGGUCAACCACAAACUAAACUAAUCUUUCGAAACUAAUCUUAUUAACUAUUAUAAGAAAAGUCUUUCGUCAAUGUCAGCUCUCCCCUACAUAUAUGUCUCAUAUAUAAAAAAAUUUUGUCCAACUAAAUGACUUACUUUCAUAGAAAAUCAACUUCAAUUAAGUAAUUCAAACAACCAAAUUCAAAGUUAUUUGGACACUUAAAAAAUAAAAUAACAAAAUAGGCAAAAUUUGCAAUCGCCCUUCCUUCAAAAUCGUCCACUACGAUCAACAUGAUGCAGGUAGUUUUCCAGUUGAAUUGGCAAGUCGUAGUUAAUAACAAGUUAAGGGAGAUUUGCUGGACAUCAAUACCACGAGAAAGGAGAUCGGUUGUUAUAAGCACAAGAGAUGAGCCAUCUCGUGUGUUCUGAUCCAUGUCUUCGAUGAAUUGUAGAUAACGUGUGAUCACAGCUACGCAUGCAUCUUCCGCAAGCUUUUUGUAUGUUUGAGAGUAGCAUCUGUCUUUAACAAUUGCUUUUCAGUUUUUCAAAAGCUUGAAUUCUCCUUUGUUGUGCAAUUAUUAUACAGCAGUCACCAUCCUAUAUAAAAAUUUUCAAGGUAUCACACUUGCUAUGGUAACGUGUAAAAGACACAAAGCAGAUAGGAAGAAACUAUAACAAACCUCAUUCUCCAUGCUCUUUCCUUCCCUUAGUUAAAAAGCCGUAGAUGAAAAACUACUAAACAAAGAAAAACUCAACGAAUUAUAAAUCUUAUUAAGGAGAACUUAAUUGUUUCCCAUACGAAAUUAAAGAAGUCACGUUACAAAAUAAACUUACCAUCUUAAACUAAUGAAAAAAAUAUUAGUUCCCAUAAUAAACUAAAGAAAUCACAUUACAAAAUAAACUUACAAUUUUAAAUUAAUGAAAAACGAUUUUAUUUAAAGUAAAGACUUUUAAUUGUAGACACAUAAAUUUAUUGGAUCAAAUUCAUAUAAAAUUUGAAUUUGAGCCAUAUGUUAUUGGGUUUAAACUUAUUUUGGGUUAAAAAAAAUAAUAAGCCUAUUUUAUUCUUCAUUAAGGUCCAUCUAACUUUGAAGCCCAAACUCAUCAAGUGACGUGGCAUCCCAGUCAAAUCCAAAAUCAAUGAGACACCGCCAUAUGUACAAAUGAUGUGGAAAUCUCAUUCAAAUUCAACAACCAGUCAAAAGAUGUCACGUGUCAAAGUGACAUGUUUCGACCAAUCACAAGCAACUAGGCCUACCCCCACAACUAUAAAUAGGGGGUAACAUAACAUUCUAAGGGGAAGAAAAAAAAAAGGAGGACAUUCUGCAAGCAUUGGAGGAAGUUUUUGCAUUGACUACACAGCUCUUCAAAGAAUUGACUAACGGAGUUCUGCCCGGAAUCAACUCGACAAGACGAAGUGUUGUCAAAAAAUUCUUGGAGAUCCAAACACAUUUCUAGGAGGUUCAAAUCAUCCUACAUUCGAGAAUCACGCUGCAAAGGCCCUCGAAUCACGAAAAAACUUAGGAGAGAAGAAUCGAAAGAAUAACGGAAUUGUACCUGCAAAAUUCAUUAAUAUAAAAUUAUUCUUUUUGUUUAUUUUAUUUUUGCUUGCAGUUAAUUUUCAGUGUUAACAAAAAAUUAUUGCGAACAAAUUGACACGCCCAGUGGGACCAGUUCUGCUCUUCAUCUCUUCCUCCUACAAGUCAAAGGAAAUCACAUAUUCAACUACUACAAUAGACUUCAGAAAAAUCAAUGAAGUUUCGUGCAAGAAGUCUACUACUGCCACGUCUACUGAGAUUAAACUUGUUGGCCCCAUCAAUUGACGCGAUCUUAAUGCUUGUGCUUUGGAUGGAUCCCAAUACUUCACCAUUUUGGAGAUGACAAAAAGGAGAAAAUCUCAAAUUUCGGCAGUAACUACAACCCCCGGGGGUAACUUUGCAUUUAUUUUAUCAGAUGAACCAUCUAAAACUGGCUGCAACUUUAGAAAAUCUAAAAACUUAAUGAAUUCUCCAACUUCAACGAAAGUCAACACCUUUAUGGUUGAUGCAAUUGACUUGGACGGGAUGUUUGCAAUGAUGGAGAAAAUAAUUGAAGCCUUGAAGAAGUCCAUUGAUGAGAAAGAUCAUCAAAUCGCCCGACUUAUGAGCAAGUUAAAUCUCUACAAUCCUAGAGAAUUAAAUUAUAAUCUAACACCACGAGAAAAAGAUGAUGGUGAAUCUCUCAUCAAGACAAGUGACAAUUAUUGUGAUGAUCGAUCUGCUUCAGUGGCUACACUAACAAUUCAACAACUGCAAGAUAUGAUUGCAAACACCAUCAAGGCACAAUAUGGCGGUCCGUCAUAAAGUUUCGUAGGAUACUCAAAGCUGUAUUCUAAGCGAAUCGAGGGCUUACCGAUGCCAAUUGGAUAUCAACCGCCAAAGUUUCAACAAUUUCAUGGAAAGAAAAAUCCAAGGCAACACAUCGCUCAUUUCGUUGAGACUUGUAGUAGUGCUGGUACACCUGGCGAUUUUCUUUUCAAGUAAUUUGUUCGCUCCUUGAAAGGCAACGCUUUUGAUUGGUACACAGACUUAGAGUCUAGAUCAAUUGAUUGUUGGAAGCAAUUAGAAAGUCAGUUCAUAAAUCGUUUCUAUAGUACCCGUCGUAUGGUCAACAUGAUGGAGUUGACAAACACAAGACAAAGUAAAGAUGAGCUUGUAUUGGAUUACAUAAAUCACUGGUGAACAUUGAGCUUUGAUUGCAAGGAUCAACUUUAUGAAACUUCCGCGGUUGAAGUUAGCAUUCAAGGGAUGUGUUGGGGCCUUGUGUAUAUCCUUCAAGGAAUUAAGCCUCAAACUUUUGAAGAAUUAGCUUCGCGCGCUCAUGACAUGGAGCUAAGUAUUGCAAGUCAUAGAAUGGCGUCACCUACUUUUUAUCCUAGAAAGGAAGUCACGAAAAUCAAAGACUCAUCUGAAGACCAAAUUAGGUAAUCUAUAAUGACAACUGUGAGUUUUACGAAGUCCCCUACAAGACAAAAGUUAAAAGAGGAAGCUUCAAAGCAACAAAUGCGAGAGGUAAAAAAUCAACCAACCUUGAAAGAGUUACAAGCAAGGGUAUAUCCUUUUCUUGACUCUGAUGUUCCUGAAAUUCUUGACGAGUUGUUAGCCAAAGAAAUCAUUUAACUUCCUAAGUCAAAGCGACCCGAAGAAUUAAACAAAGUCGAUGAUCCUAAAUACUGUAAAUUUCACCUCAUUAUUGGUCAUCACACCACAAAAUGCUUCAUCCUGAAGGAAAAGAUCAUGAAAUUAAUGCAAGAGGGGAAAGAUCAUCAUUGAUGAAGGCGAUACAGUUGGCGCAAAUCAUGUUAGCGCCAAACUUCACCAUAUGAAAGGAUCAAUUUCAAGAGUUCUACAAUCCACGUGCUCUGUGGCAUUACCAAAAGGUGAAGGAAUCAUCAUGCUACAAUUUGGGAGCUUUGAUCCAAUUGAGGUUCCUACCACGAAGAAAAUAACAAGCAAAUCCAUGCAAAACAACUUCUCCAAUAGUAAAAAAGGUGAUACUUGGACAUUGAUCGCUCAUAAAAGAAAAAAAUAUCAAAGGACUUCUAAACUCCAACUUCUAAAAGUCGGCACAAGAUCAAGUGCAAAUCUUCUUUAACCAAUGGGAGCAAUAAUUAUCAAACUGAAGUGCAAAAAUACUCCAUUACAAAGGGUUGGAAGGAAAGUUACAUUACAAGAAUUCCUCCCCAAAAUGCUACUCGAUGCAUGAGCCUAAACUGCAAGUCAAGACGCUUCUCGACGCACGAGCCUAAACUGCAAGUCAAAACGCUCCUUAAGGUACGAGCUUAAACUGCAUGUCACUCUUGGCCCGCAUGUGUCUAAAAUGUGAAUGACUCUAAAAUAAAAAAAAGAAGGAAAAGUAUGAAGCUUGAAUACAUAUUUGGAGUCCUUUGAAGAUGUCAUCUUAAAGCAAAAGGAUUCUUUAUUAUCUCUCAAGCAAUAAAGUCUUCUCGACAAGAAAAAGACUUGUGGUACUUUGAAUAAUGCUCUAGUCUGGCCUUCAACAUAUUACUAAAGUGAUGCGACCCAAAGCUUGAAGUAGAUGAUAAAAUUCAUGAAGUAUCCAAAAUUUGAGAAGAAAUAGAAUAUCACAAGAUUUAGGCUGCAACUUUGGAAAAGUAUCUGAGAAACUAUAGAGGUUAUAUUUUGAUGGAUUUCACGUUUAACAUAGAUUUGUGAGUCUACAUUCCAAUACAAAAAACGAAACCUGAUUCCGAUACUUUCAUGUCAAGAUAUGAAAUUUAUCGUGACGCUGCGCAAAGCUGAAAUAACCAGCGAACCAAGAUUAGAAGGCUGUUUUUGAAGCAAUAUUUGGGAAAAUUCGGAUGCAAUAAUUAUGAUUUCCUCGUGAGACGUAUCUCUGUGAGUUUACUUUCUAAUGCAAAAAACGGAACCUGAUUCCGAUACUUUCACGUCAAGAUAUAAAAUUUAUCAUGAUGCUGUGCAAAGCUAAAAUAACCAGCGAACGAAGAUUAGAAGGCUGUUUUUGGAGCAAUAUCUGGGAUGAUUCGGAUGCAAUAUAAUUGUGGUUUCCAUGAGAGACAUAGCUCUGUGAAUCUACUUUCUGAUGUAAAAAAAUAGAACCUGAUUCUGAUACUCCUACAUCAAAAUAUAGAAUUUAUCAUGACGCUGCGCAAUGCCCAUAAAAUAGGACAUUGAAUUCCAUUUUUAUGAAUCAAACAACUCAUAAUUUUGUUCUCCCAUCGGAGAAUAAAUAUUUUUGUGGACAUAUGCCUGGUACUUGCUCACCAAAGUCAGAAGAGCCUACUCCCUGUGUCAAUAUUAUCAAGCUGGAUGACACCAUGUACGUGCUCCUUGAAAAGAAUGGGAUGCUCUUACUCGAAGCCUCUUUAUCGUCGAGCCCCACGGAUGAGAUGCACGACACGCUUGCUUUGCAACGAUGGACUGCAGACACUCAGAAUUUCAUCAUCACAAGGUCGCAAGAAUGACACCAAGUACAUGCUCACUGAAGCUACAAUAGAAAACUUUCAGCGUCGUCAAGGAUAAAAUCAAAUCAUUCUAAGUGACUUUCUUAUCAAGCAGUAAGGAAGUAGUGCACUAAAUAGUUCAACAUCAGUCAUGUCUACCUUUUUGGUCUGACAUCAAGACCAUUUGCAUAAGCCUGCACAAAAAAAAUAAAGAUGUAACACAUCUACAGUGUUGACCGGAUGAAGCUUCUCGGUUCUAUGCGGAUUGAUGCCAACUAUGUGAAACUUCAAUCUGGUGAUAAGUGUCGGUACCUCUAUGCGGAUUGAUGCCAACUAUGUGAAACUUCAAUCUGGUGAUAAGUGUCGGUACCUCUAUGCGGAUUGAUGCCAACUAUGUGAAACUUCAAUCUGGCGAUAAGUGUCGGUACCUAACGCACGAUGCUUCAAUUUGGCAUGAUCAACAUUGGGAGAAACAAAUACCUUUAAAAUCACGAGAAUGAAAACACAUUCAUGAGUACUUCAAAUCUCGCCGCCAAGUUUCGGCAAGCCUACACGUCGACCAACCUUGAAGUAGGAGACAUCUGUAGACACAUAAAAUUUAUUGGAUCAAAUUCAUAUAAUAUGAAUUUGAGCCAUAUGUUAUUGGGUUUAAACUUAUUUUGGACUAAAUAAAAUAGUAAGCCUAUUUUAUUCUUCAUCAAGGUCCAUCUCACGUUGAAGCCCAAACUCAUCAAGUGACGUGGCAUCCUAGUCAAAUCCAAAACCAAUGAGACGCCACCAUAUGUACAAAUGAUGUGGAAAUCCCAUUCAAAUUCAACAAUCAGUCAAAAGGUGCCACGUGUCAAAGUGACAUGUUUCGGCCAAUCACAAGCAACUAGGCCCACCCCCACAACUAUAAAUAGGGGGUAACAAAAGAAAAAAAGGAGGACAUUCUGCUAGCAUUGGAGGAAGUUUCUGCAUUGACUACACAGCUCUUCAAUGAAUUGACUAACGGAGUUCUGCCCGGAGAUCAACUCGACAAGACGAAGUGUUGUAAUACAAUUCCUAGAGAUCCAAACACAUUUUUAGGAGGUUCAAAUCAUCCUACAUUCGAGAAUCAUGCUGUAAAGGCCCUCGAAUCACGAAAAAACUUAGGAGAGAAGAAUCGAGAGAAUAACGGAAUUGUACCCGCAAAAUUUAUUUAUAUAAAGUUAUUCUUUUUGUUUAUUUUAUUUUUGCUCGCAGUUAAUUUUCAGCGUUAACGAAAACUUGUUGCGAACAUUAAUGAAGAGCAAAAAGUUCAAACAAAAUUUCUAAUGUCCUUUACACUUUUGAUAUAAAUGAGUGAAUAAAAUUAAUUAGUUAAAUUUAAAAGCGACUACAUGUGGUCGCUUUUAUUAAAAUUUAAUUAAUUAAUUAAUUAAAAAUAGCGACCACUUAUUAAAAUUAAUUAAUUAAAUAUGUAUAAUUUAAUUAUAUAUUUCUCCUUUUACUCUCAUUGGUCUCUUUCUUCCCCCUCCGCCAUUGCAGGUAGAAUGAACGAAACUUCCUUUGACAAUUUGGAGGAAGACGUCGUAAUUCUUAUACUUGAGACUUUUUAGUCCAAGGAUUUAUUUUUUUCCCUUGCAGUUUUGAUAGAGGCUCGUCCUUGGCCACAACCUCUAAGGGUAGCUAGAGUCGUAGUGACAUCAGGCAAAACUGGUGUUUCUCUUGUGUUUUCAAAACAACAACAAAACAACUCUGAAUUAUCAUAAUAUCAUUUUUAUAUAUAUUACUACUCCCUCCGUUUUAUUUUAUGUAUCGUCAUUUUCUUUUUGGUCCAUCCCAAAAAGAAUGUCAUCUUUUCUUAUUCGGUAACUAUUUAAUGAUAUUAUCACCAUCUUAUGUCUUACUAAAUAAGAAAAAACAACUAAAAAGUAAACAAUAAUGUAACUUUAAGAGGAGCAAUUUUAUAAAUUAUACAAAGUCAUCACUUAUUUCAUAAACUCUGUGUUCAGUCAAAUGACAAUACAUAAAAUGAGACGGAGGGAGUAAUAUAUAUAAUUGUGAUCAAGCAAGUAGCAGCUCGUCGUCAUGGCUGCUUGUCGACCAAAGGGUAGUUUUGGUAUAUUUAAAAUGUAUUGCUUUGAUUAUGUUGUAUCAGAUGUUGCGCCCAUUUUUUCUUUCUCAAUUGGCCAAAAAUGCCACAAUACACUUAUUUAUUGAUUUUUCUACGUGCCUCAUUGCCUAUUUUAUACUGCUGAAAGUGUGGCUAUUUUAUAUGUGCAACUCUUUCAAAUUCACUCAUUCAAAAAGUGGGUUCCAGUAAAUUUUUACAUAAAUUUUGUGCUUUUUCUGAUUUUUUUAUUAGCAUUUUAAUAGUUGUCUCAGUAGUAAUUUUCAUAACUAAAUAUGUUUGUGAUUGUUGAAAUGUUGUGUUAAUUUAAUAUGAAAAAAAAAAAAAAAGCACAAUGAUUAAAUGAACUCCUGCAUUUGUUCAAGUUUAUAAAAUGAACACUUUUAUAUAUUUUUUUGUUAUUUGAAUCUUUUAACUCGUUAAAACAUAAUAUUUUAAAUUUUUUUAACCAUUGAUCGAGUAUAUGUGUCAUUAAAUUAUUGAGCUGAAAGAAAAUUAAUAAUAUUUAACAAAAAAGUAUAUGAUAUGUCCGUUUCAGCUGCUUCAACGGUAAUUUUACUAUAUCACUCCUAAUUAAUUAUUAUAAGUCAUCUAAGUAUUAAAAAAUAAUAAUAUCUAAUAAAAAAAUAAAAUAGACAUAAAUUGAUAAGUUAACUCUUGAUAUUUUAAAUUAACUCGACAUCUUAUAUGAGGUCCACUUAAAUUUUUUUCACAAAUAUUUUUAUAGUUGUGUUAUUUCACUUUUAAUUAGUUAUUAUGAGUCAUUUAAGAAAUGUUUGUUUCGCUACUUCAAUCCGGUUGACUCUUAUGUAUUAGAAAAUUAAUCAUGUUUAAUAAAAAAAGUAAAAUAGAUAUUUUUGACAUGUCUGUUUCAGCUACUUCAACCGUAAUUUUACUAUAUCACCCUUAAUUAAUCAUUAUAAAUCAUCUAAGUAUUAAAAAAUUAAUAAUAUUUUUAAAAAGGUAAAAUAGACAUAAAAUGAUAAAUUAAGUGUUGAAGUUUUAAAUUAACCUGACAUUUUAUAUGAGGUCCACUUAAAUUUUUUUCACAAGUAUUUUUUAUAGCGAUUUUGCGAUAUCAUUUCUAAUUAGUUAUUAUCAAUCAUUUAAGACAUGUCUGUUUCGCUACUUCAAUCGUGAUAUUUGAUUGACUCUCAAAAUUAUAUAGUGUCACUUAAAUUGAAAUAGAAGAAAAAGUAAUAUAAAUUAAUAAUAAAAAAUUUAAACUAUUUUUAAAAUAUAAUUGACAAUCAAUGCCACAAUAGUUUGGACAAGGAGAAUAUUAUAAAUUAUAAUAGCUAAUAGCUUAAAAUAGUAAAUUAUAAUGUCAAAAAAUUAUUUAAAUUAUAAUAGCUAACAACUUAAAAUAUUUUUAAAAUAUAAUUGAUUAUCUAAAUUUUAUUCUUGUCACAUAAAUUGAGAUAAAAAAAAUAACAUAUAUUGGACUCAUCCCAGCACGGGUCCUUGAAUAUCUAAUAUUUAUAUACUUAAAGACCUCGUAUUUAAAUUUGAUUUUAGAGCACUAAUUUUAUUGAGAGGAUGGUAGCUUCUUUCACUAAUUCCAAUUCAUGAAUGGCAGAGAAAACCUCAGAGGCAGCACGAUUUUUUGUAUUCAUAUAGUUUUUUUUUAUUUUUUUAUUCAAGCACUCCCCCUGUUUCAUUUAUGGAAUUCAGAGAAAGGGGGACUAUACCUUACCCCUUGAUAUACAAUCAGAGAUAGGUGGUGAUCCAAGGAAUACCGUGGCCUUACACUAGGCACCUGUCUUUUGUCUAGCAAGUAAGGUCCAAGGACCUCAUUAGGUAAUUCUGCGCAAUGAGAGGAGUAUCUAAUGUAGUGGCUAAUUUUGCUAAGCAGUCUCUAUAACAAUGAGUGAAAACCAUGUCAUUAUUCUCGAUGAGCGCACCGAUCUCCUCAAUAAUAGGUUUAAGAAUCAGAUUGUUGGACGUUUUGUUCUCAGCCACGAUGCUAGAGUCGAAGUUCAAUGGUACAACAUCUAAGAUUAGCGUUCUUGAUCCAUUGAGCCGCAUACUUUGCUGCCAGAGGUUCAACCACAUUGUGCUUUUGGCAUUUUACUGGAACAGCAUGCGCAAAGAUCAUAUUCCCAUCCCCAUCUCUGGCAACUCCACCAAUGCCUGCCUUGCCGUUCUGCUCCAUAAAGCUUCCAUCUGUAUUGAUCUUUAUCAUUCCCGCUUGAGGCCUGCUCCAAAUAACUAAACUUCUACUGACUUUCUCGAUCACUUCGCAAAGUUGAUUCCAAAGAAUUUGAUGCUCCAUUCUUCUUGGGUACAAUCUGCCGUAUCUACAAGCACAUCUGACCUUCCACAUCUCCCAGCAAAUAAUGACCGGUAGUAUUUGAACGAUCAGCUUGUGAAUAGUAUUCUUGGUUGGAGUACUCCACCAAUCUUUUAGAAAAAUUCUUGCAGAUUUUCUUUGAUAACUGAUGGAUGCCCAAAAUAUUUCCAAAGAGUUUGUGCAACCUCACUCUCAAAAAAGAAAUGUUGAACUGCACAACAAAGACAAUCGGUUGGCAUCUCAUCAACAAACCUGCAAACUGAGCAAAUGGCAAUUUAUUUUUAAUAAGUCUCCAAGAAAGGAAAGAUAUUUUAAAAGGAACUAUUGAUCAUCUGGUCAAUUUGCCUGUGAACUCCGAUGUUGUUCCAGGCUUCUUUGUUGGAAAAAAUUCCAUCAGCAGCUGGUUUCCAGAUGAUGUAGUCAUUUUUGUUAGGAGCGCCUAUUUUAAUAGUGUAUAUGUGCUGACAGAUCCAAUCAGGGAGAACGUCAUGAAGUUUUCUCAUAUUCCAUCUCUGAUUGUCAAUGAAAUUUCUGACCUUGGUCCUUAUAGAAUGGUUAUGUUGUGGAUAUAAAUGGGCAAUAGCAUCAAGUCCAGUCCAAUUGUCUCACCAAAAACUACAUUCUACAUUCUGAAUAUUCCAAAUCAUAUUUGGUUCUGCUUUUGUUCUUAUUUUAGUCAAAGUGCUCCAAAUAUGAGAGUUUCCAGAAACCCAAACCUUGUUUAACUGGAUGGGCUCUAAUGCAGUAUUUUGCUUAGUGAACUUGGACCAAAGAGAAUCCUGGCAUCUGAACCUCCACCACCUUUUUAUGUUGAGACUCUCACAAAUAUCAGCCAUUUUUUCGUAUUCCCACUCCUCCUUCCUCUUUAGGAAAGCAUAAGUUCUCCCAUGAACUCUAGUGGUAGUUGUUCUCCCCAUUUGUGGAUCCCCAAAAAAAUCUGACAAAAUGUUUCUCCAUAAGCUUUAUAAUGCCCUUUGGGGGACUUAAAGUGGUGAGAGUGUAAAUUGACAAAGACUGAAGGACAUGUUUAAUAAUAAGCACAAUUCUUGCCCCCAAACGAUAACAUGUUACUCUGCCAUCCAUUCAACCUUUUGAUAACCUUGGAAAGCUAUUUUUCAAAGUAUUCCACUCUCUUUUUACCAACAUAAAUCGGGCAUCCCAAAUAAUCAAAAGGAAAUUGCUUACCCAGAAAGCCUGUUGCAUCUCUUAUUUUGUUGAUUCUGCUUGGUCCAGUCCCGGGGGCUGUAAGGAAAAAACACUUGUUGCUCAAUUCAUCUUCUGGCCUGAACAUCUCUCAUACCAAUGAAUUUGUUUCAUCACCAUUUUAAUGAAUUUGGUUUCGCCACUGGUAAAUAUUACAAUAUCAUCUGCAUAAGACAAAUGGUUAAUAAUAGGACCUGUAUUAGACAUAGAAAAAGGCAAGAAAUGUUCACUAUGAAUUAGAUUAUUAAGCAGCCUAGCUAAAACUUCCGCACCAAUUAUAAAAAGAGGAGAGAGAGGAUUUCCCUGUUUAAGGCCCUUAGGUGGAGGUAAAAAACCUAUUUCUGGUUCUAUUAAUUAUAAUGGAAUACCAUAUAUUGGAGAUAAUCCUCAUGAUCAUGUCAAUGACUUCUUUAGAAAAAACAAACCUUCUUAAGACAGCAAUAAGAAAGGACCACAACAUUCUGUCAUAUGCCUUAGUCAAAUCGAGUUUGAUGACCACAUUCCCUCCUUUGUUCUUGCUUUUGAGAUUAUGCACAAUUUCCUGAGCUAAUUGAAUAUUCUCUGUAAUAAGCCUUCCUUUAAGAAAACCACUUUGAUUUUCUGAUAUCAUAAGAGGCAACAUAGGAUUAAGUCUUUUGGAAAUAAUCUUGGUAAUAAUCUUACUAGAAAAAUUGCUCAAGCUAAUAGGUCUGAAAUUCAGAGAGGUUGUCUGGGCACUAUACUUUAGGGAUUAGUACUAGAAGGGUGUGAGUGAAGAAUUUGGUCAGUUUUCCUCCGAGAAAGAAAAACUGUACAAAUUCUAUCACAUCCUUUUUAAUAAUAUCCCAACAAGUAUGAUAGAAUUUCCCUGAAAAUCCAUCAGGUCCAGGUUCGCUAUCUGUGCUCAUAUUGAAUACCGCAUCUUUAAUCUCAUCUUCAUCUGAACAUGAAGUCAUAAUCCUGUUAUCAUCAUCAUUAAUGCAAUUGGGAAUACACUCCAAGAUCCUUGGAUCAACUGUAGCACUUUUUAAUUAAAAAGUCGCUUAAAAUAUUUGAUAGCAACUUUGGCAAUUUUAUCAUCACCAGAGACCCACUUUCCCUUCUUAUUUUUGAUUCUAUGUAAACAUAGAUUUCUUCUUCUGUCUCUUAUCAUCGCAUGAAAAUAUUUGGUAUUACUGUCACCCUCCUCAAACCAUCUGACAUGAGAUUUUUGCCUUGAAAAAUUGUUCUGUUUAUUGAGCCAACAAAUAUAUUCUGCCUGCCCUUUAUUCAGUUCCUCCCUGGUAUCUUCAGUUCUCAAAUUCAAGUCCAUAUCCUCUAGUACUUGCAUUUUUGCCUCUCAGAUAUCAGCUUGUUCAUUCAAAUCUCUAAUAUCUUCCUUCCCUUGACCAUUUGGAUAGUCUUUUUUCUAGGAGUUUGAGUUUCUGUUGUAAUCUCCACAUCGAGUUACCUUCAAUGACCUUACUCUAUUCAUUACUCACAAUCUCUAGAAAAUCUUGAUGAGUAGUCCAGAAGUCCAGAAAUUUAAAGUAUUUUAUACAAAUAUUGUUUCCGUUACCACAUCGCAACAACAAAGGUCUGUGGUCCGGUCCGGUCCUUGGUAAGUGUUUAACAAUGUUGGAACAAAACAUUUGAGACCAUCAUCUAUCAUUGAUAAACACCCUAUCCAGUCUUUUCCGAAUUCUUGUGCUUGGUCUCCAAUUGUUGCACUAAGUGAAUUUGGAACCAGUGUACCCCCGAUAUCGAUCAUACCACAAGAAUCCAUACAUUCAGCAAAAUCAUAACUUUCAGCAUUUCUAUGGGGAAAACCUCCCAAUUUCUCUUUGGGGUGGAGAAUCACGUUAAAAUCUCCCCCAAUACACCAAGGAUGACUAAUAAUAGCAUUCAUAGUUGCCAAACUCCUCCAUAUUUCAAUUCUUUCGAUACGAGUGCAUUUUCCAUAACUAGCAGUAACAUAUAACUCCUGGCUGUUAUGGUCUUUUUGAACUUUCAAAGUAAUAUGUUGAUCAUGGUUCUCAAUGGUAGUAACAGUACAAUUCGCUCUCCAGAAACACCAUAUCUGUCCGUUGAUAUUUGUAGUGCAGUGGUUGAAUCCCAAAAAUCUUUUAUACCCUUCCACUUUGUUCAUACUCACCAUCGGUUUUGAAAUAACGAUCAUAUCCAAGUUAUAUUUGUUAGCCAUCCUUUUGAGUCUAUGAAUGGCUUUUCGAGACCUCACCCCUCUUAUGUUCCAAAUGAUUGCACUAAUCAUUAGGAUACGUUAAAAGGUUGGAGUUUUUAUUUCUACCCCUCCUUAAAGGAGGUGUCGAUUUCAUUCUGCGGGAUAUGUUUCUUCUUUUGUGCAUGCUUCUGCCUCUCUUUACUGGAGAGAUGUCAUUUCUAUCACAUGUCUGUCUCAUAUGUUGUUGGGCAUCACUUUCCUUUUCAAUUCUCUCUAUUGAUUCCUCGCACUCUGUUAGAUUUUCAUUAGUAACCUCCAAAUUUUCAUCAUCUGUAUUGCCAAUCACUUCUUGAGAACUGUAUGUGUCCAGCAUAUUAUCAUUUAGAUCCACAACAAGAUUAAUAGCAGGCAUGUUCUUUACGUUGUUAGGAACACUAGUGGAUUCAUCAGGAGUAUUACAUUUUUCUUUAAUGUUAUCUCCUGUAUCCUCCCCAUAUUUCAUCAUCUGUUUUCCAUUUGCUGCAUUUUCUUCAUUGCCGUGCUCAUUUGAGUCCUGUAGUUUGUUGUCAUCUUUUUCAAUCGUCGUGUUCACGAUCUCUAAACUUUUUGCUUCUUCUUUGGUGCUCAUACUCCCCCUUAUUUGUUGAAGGUUGAUGUUAGAAUCCUGCUUCUCCGAAUCGCACGUGAUCUGAUCCUUGGCCAUAUCCGUCCCAAUUUUCGCUUUCACCUUGGUUCUUUUUUUUUGGGACUUUUUUCUUCUUUUUAUUCUUGAUUUUGUUGAGCCUAUUCUUUAAAACAGAGCUCCCAUUCUCCAAAUCCCCUCUGGUCUUGCUUUUUCUUUGCUCCCUAUCGUUCUGAUUGCUCUCAGAAGUCCUUUCACUAUUAACUUGUUGUAAAUCAUGAUCUUUUUGCUGUUGUUUCCUCUUGCUGUCCAAUUUUCCAUUGCCAGCCUUUUCUAGUAGGCAUGCCAAUUUCCAUGGCUUCAUUAGUAUUGUCCUUCUUAUCCUCUUGAUUUUUUGAUUGAUUGAUAGUCCUUGUUGCAGCCUCAUUCUCAUUAGUUCCACUAGAUUCAGCAACAUCUCUGUCUUUAAUUUGAUUUUGCACAGCAGCCUUUUCCUCAUUCUUUUUUUGCUCUAUUUUUCGACACUGCGUAAUAGAAUGCCCCAAAAUUUUGCAACGUCUACAGAACUUUGGCACAUUCUCAUAUUCGAGCUUCUGGUAAAAACCUUUAGGCGGACUGGGACCCCACAAAAAUGGAGUUAAAUCAACUUCCACUCUUAUUUUAGCCAUACUUGGCCGAGAUUUGUCAUGACUAGCAGCGAGAUUUGCCGGCACCCCCAUAGGGACGGGGCGUGAAGCUCAGACGCAAAAAAGUGACCAAAGGUAACGUUGACAACAACGGUCUCAAAGUUGUACGGAGAGAAUUUUCUUUUUCACCAAAUUGAUUUUUGUUUUUUAACUCCUUGAAAUAACAAUAGAGAAAUUGGAUAACAAUGACUAAAAGCUAGAAUUAAUAAUGAUUACACUGAAAAACAAAAUCAGUUCAUGGGAGUUAUUUUUAGAUGAAUUUUCUUUUUUAUCAAAAAAGGAAUCUGAAAGAACAUAAAAAGGGAAUUUUUGGAGCCAAGAAAUUGAUUUUAUUUCUAAUUUGGAUUUUAAAAAAUGUUGGGGAUUUUAUUUCUAAUUUGGAUUCUAUGCAUUUAAUCACUUUGCUGAUGUUAUAAAAAGUGCCUAUUUUAUCAACGGUCUUUAUCAAUUCAGCUUUAAAAAUGGGUUUUUAGACGAGAUCCAAUUAAAUAUCUAGCUUAUUACACUCUCUUUGGAUCAUUGUUAUUUACCACCGUUAUAUAAUUCAUUGUAUCAUAUCUUAUUAUUCUAUUGCAUUGUACGGUAUUGUAUUUAUAAUAUUUGUAGAGAUUGUAUCAUUUAUUAUUUAUUGUUGUUUAAUUAAUAAUAUUUUUCUUGUUUGAUUUGAUUUUAUCACAAUAUAUUGUAAAUGAUAAGCUUAUAAAAUGCCUUAAAUAAUUGUAGAUAUUAAAUUUAUCAAUAAUUAGUAAUAAAAAUAAUAUAAGACAAUUUUUUGAGUAAAAAAUGUUGUUUUUUUUUUUGGUUUCUCAAGGUAUCCCUCAACCCGACAGGUCAAGGACUCAUGCACAAGGCGGGAAUCGAACCCCCGACACUUGCUUAAGCGACCUAGUGAGCUAACCAUUUGACCAAUCAAGCUUGGUUAAAAUGUUAUCAAUUCUACAUUAUAAUUAUAUUAAAGCUAUUAAAUUCAGGUAAACUCAGACAAUUCAACUGAGUGAAUGAACAUAAUUAAACUAUUAAAUGACACAUAUGCUACCCGGAAAUGUGUAGAAUAAAGCAUGCAACUCAAACAAAAUGUAGGAGGAGACAAGAUGAAGAAAGAAAAAGAGAGUAGACUUACAAAGCAAAAAGAUGACGAGGCAAAAGAAGGAAAACGUAGGUGUUUGGUCAUGGAAAUGAUAAAAUAGAAUUAUGAAAUAUUUAUAGGUGUUUGGUUAUGGAAAUCAAUUUUUUUUUUUAGUGAGAGUUUGGAGUUGUGUUUGAUCAUAAAUAUAAAUUGGAGUUGUUUUUGACUUUUCGUGAGAGAAGCAAAAGUGAAAAAAAAGGCACUUUUUCGAAUACAAUUCAAAUUGUAUUUGGAAUUCUUACGAUCAAACACUACAGUUUUUACUAACCCAAUAAGAAAAAUCAAAAUCGAACCAAUAAUAACCCAAUUAAAUUUUCUUAUAAAAUCAUUAAAAACGGUUAAUCCAAUAACCCAAUAACAAUAAAUCAAUAGCAUUUUUAUCAAUUUGAUCUUUGUAUACCCCUACACGUGACGGUUACUCGAGAGCCUACACCACUAGUUUUGUGGCCUCACCAUCUCGAGUCGCUUACCCCGACCAAGCCAAGACCUUACUCCUAGUCCUGACAUAAGACCCCAACCUAGAACCUAACCGGAAACCUGACCCCUAAAUUCAAUCCAGACCUAGAUCCUUACUUGGUACCCAACUCCGAUCCAAAUCCCGACCAAAGAUAAUACAAAUUAAAAGUCAACCCCAAGUAGAGACCUAAAUAUCAACCUUGAGUCUUGAUUUUGACCCCCACCAAGGACCUGAAAUCCAACUUUUCAUCCAAACCUUGACGCUAAGACCCAACUCCUAAUCCCUACUCAAGACCUAAGACUUAGCCCCCUGACCUUAACUCCAUACCUUGUAUAUCCAACACCCAACUCACAAUCGUUAUCCGACUCGACAAUGAAGACCCAACUUUUGACCCUAACCUAAGAUCCAAUUCUAAUCUUGAUCCAGGAUCCAAAAGCUAACUCCCAAUCCUGACUCGAGAUUGGAGACCUGACUCUCAAUUCUGACAUAGGAUUAGGUUUCAUCUCCCACUCGACAAAUCUAAGUCCAUCGACAGACGACACGUAGCUUCCUUUACUUUUUGCAUUUACUUUUAUUUUACUUUACAACGUGAUACUUUAUUUCUCUAUGUGUCUAUCCACUCCAAAUUAAAGUCGAGUUAAAUGCAGAUGUAGAGGUACCCACGAGAAUGGUUCAGUAUCAUUCGUAAUAAAGAAGGAAAAAAACAAAAUUAAGAUAACAUUAUCAUCUUUGCUAGCUAUACAUGGCACAUAUAUGUAUAUAUCAUGCGAUAAUAUUAUACUAAACCAAAGAAAAAACCAAAAUUAACAUAACAAAUUUUGUAAACUCUGACGCAGUUUAUCCACCGUUUGCCAUCUCCAAAUUAGUAUAAAUACGCAACACUCAAUAUACAAUUACAUUCAUUCCAUGCAUUAAAAAAAAGAUCUUAUAUAUACAAAUUAAGGAAAUUAAAUUAAGUUAUAAUCAUGAAGGCUGUUGCAGUAGUACUAGUUCUAGUUGUGCUGGCCGCGGUUAAGCUAGCCAUGGCUGGGCGGCUAGAACAACAAACCGGAAUCACCUGUGGUCAAGUAGACGCCAAUUUGGCACCCUGUGUCUCAUUCCUGACACAGGGUGGCGAGCCCAGUGCAGCCUGCUGCAGCGGGGUCAAAACCUUGAGCGGUCUGGCUCAGUCCACUGACGAGAGGAGGACAGCUUGCAACUGUCUCAAGGCUGCAGCAAACCGAUAUGCCAACCUUAAAGAUGAUGCCGCACAGGCUCUCCCUGGCAAGUGUGGUGUAGCCCUCAAUGUUCCUAUCUCCAGGACCAUCAACUGUGACACGUAAGAAUUUAACUUAUAUGUACAAGAUAGCAUGAAAUAAUUUUCAUACUGUACGUCAAGUUACCUAAUUAAAAGAUAACAUGAACCCUCCAUAAUAAGUUAGACUAGUAAUUAACUUGGGAAUUAGGGCAUUUGACCUGCUAUAAUUGAUGUUUCUACUAUUAGUGAGUCUUACGUACGUAUUUUUUCUCUUACGUGCGUGAAACUAUUAUGAGGUUUUGUACUACUUCUUCAUCCCAAUUUAUACUAUACAUUUUUUAAGUUUGUCCAGGAAAAAAAAACGAUAUCUUUCUAAAUUUGAAAAUAAUUGAAAUUUAAAAUUUCAUUUUACCCCUUAAGGAGAUGAUUAACAGACACUAGAUAAUAACUUUCUAAAGUUUCUUUUUUUUUCUUGAAUUUUAUCCGCAGUCAAAAAUUGUCACCUACAUAAAUUGAGAAUGAAAGAGUACUUAAUUAGCACUAAUUUACUCCCUUACCUAAAUGUUUUAUAUUUAUACUUACCAUCAAACAAUCUCUAAUUUUGCUCUUUUCUAAUCUCGUCUGCAGGGUCAGUUAGUUAAAUCAGCAGGGUGCAUGGUUCCGGGAAUAAUGCUUUGCAAUGGUGUUAAUUAGUUUAGUUAUACAUACAUAUAUAUAUAUGUACUAUUAAAUAAACCAAGGGUUGUUAAACCCUUGAACGUAGUAUAUAUACUCAAUUACUAUGCAGUAAUUUGAGUAGUUUACUGUUUAGCGAAUGUAUUUUGUUUAUAAUAAGAGUUUAAAUGAUCUAUACAUAGACGUUGCUCUUUUAUCUUUGCGUUUAAUCAGUGGUUUAGAAUGCAGAGGCGCUUUACUAGUAAAAUAGUAUAAACAAAAAAAAGUACUUUAUAUGUUUUUGAAAAAAAAUUAAUAGGUUUAAAAAAUUAAAAAUAUGAUUGAAGAAACUCAUAGAACUUCUAACAUGAUUGGACAAGUACUUAUAAUGCAUGCAAUGAUAUAAAAAUUAUUUUAAGAUGUAAAUGCUCUAACAUCUUAACACUCAAACAACAAAAGCAUCACAAUUUCUUAAAAUGUGUUAAUACCAUACCAUACAAUUUAAUUACCCACUAAAGGAAAUUAACUAAUGAACUUUAUUUUAUAUUAUAAUUAAAACUUUAGACAUCACUCCUGAAUAGAAAUAAAAUUACUUUCAAAUAGAGAAAUAACAAGAUAAUUUUGAGAUAUUUGACAAAAUAUAAAGAACAAUGAUAAGUGAAGAUGAAAAAUUAGAAUACAUAUAUUUAAAAAAUAUUAAGUGAUAUUCAACUCAUUGUGUUUUCAAAUGGUAAAUAUAUAUGCAAUAAUACAACUUCUUAUUUGAGUAAUUCUUAAUUUUCCUAUUUCUAUAGAUGAGAAGUUAUCAAGUACAAUUCCUUUAUUAAAAAUUAUGUGAGUCAACAGUGUUAGCUUAUAAGGAAUUUGACAGUGCAUAUUUUAUUUAAGUACGAUAUAUUAACGAAGAUCGGGUCUUAGUGUGUGUUUGGAAGAGAUAUAAUUUAGUUAAAAUAGAUUAUAAGUUGUUUUUUGCUUAAAAAUGUGUUUGGCAAUUUUUGGAAGUGCUUUAAAAAAAGUUAUUUUUGACAUUUUUUAAGCCAAAAACAAGAAGCUUUAAAUCCUAACUUUUUUUUUUGGAACUUAUAAUCUAUUUAAGUUGACCAAGUAAAUUACCUUUGUAUCCCUUGUAAUUAUUCCUUAUUCCAAUUUUACCCUUUAUCCCUAAUUCUCCUUCAUAGAACACUUCACACAAACACUUUCAUUUCUCUGAGAAAAUCCACGCCGCUGCCAAACCAAUGAUGAAAUUAUUUGACCAUAUUUAUUUAUGUUUAAUAAAAACAAUAUUGGUGAGUGACAUUUGCGAAUCUUCCAAGUGGACUCAUUUACGUGAUGUUUAUUAUUUUAUUUUUGACAAUAUAGUCUAAAAUACUGGUUAAUCAUUAAAUUAUUUUCCAUAUUUCGAAUAGACAUAAAACUCUAAUGCAAUAAUUUAGGAAAUAAAUCUAAAUAGUAUAAUUAGUUUAUUUACACUCAAUUUGAUCAUUUUAAAAUUGGAGAGGAUCCAUUCUAGGGCACAAUAAUGGAUAUGAAAGUAAUGUGCAUUGGGUGUGGCUUUGUGAUAUGAUUGUUAAUGAUAUUUGUAAUGCUUAAUGCUUGAACUAAUUAAAUAUUUUCACCUUUUGUAUUUAUGGCGAAUUUAACUCUAGCCAUAUUAGUACCUUUUUUGUAUGAAACUAUUUAUCUAUUAAUGUAAUUAUAAUGAUUAGUAAAAUAUAUAUAUUUUGCUUAAUAAUAAGCUCGACAUAUAUAUUAAUAUAAUCCUCGAAGGUUAAAAGCAACAAGUCCAGUUUAAUAAGAAAUGGAAGUGUCGUCACAAAUUGCACCUUAAUGAUACGAAAUCUUAACGUAACCAAGAAGAAACAAAUAAUCUUUUAAUAUAUAACUAUUUUUUUCAAAUACAAACAUUCAACACUUAAACUUUUUUAAAAAAUAUUUUUUUAGCGCACAAAUUAAUAGUCAUUCAUGAAAAUAUUUUUUUUAAUAUAUAUAUAUAUAUAUAUUAAAAUAUAUAUUAAUUUUCAUUUGAAUCAUUUGAGCAACAAAAAUUAAUAAUAAUCAACUCUAUAUAUUACUAACAAUUAUAACGAUAUUUCAGUUAUUUUGACAAAAAAAAGUGCUUAAAAACAUUAUUUACCAAUCACAUCAAUUACUUUUUUUCAGUUUCAGCACUUUUAUCCAAACACUUAACUACUUAUUUUUAAAAUAAGUUCAUCACUUUUAAAGAUUUUUUUUUCAGCCACGUUUUUUCAGCCUAUCCAAACGGACUCUUAUGCCUGUUUAUGACGAUCAAUCAGACACUUAUGACGUAUGUUUUACCAAAACUAAGUCUCACACGUGAGACUCGAGAUAUUUUACCAGUGCCACACUUCGAGACAGCCCCAAAUGAAUUUCCAAAACUAUUUUCUGAAACACUAUUUUUAACGAAUGUCUUCUGUAUAUAGUAAGCAUUCAAAUGGUCUAGGCAUAAAUGUUACCUUUUAUUUUUGUUUCUAACAAGUGCCUUCUGUCUAUAAUAAGAGUUAAAAUCGUUUCUACAUAAUUUUUUUUUUUUUUUUAAAAAAGACAGUUUGAUGUACUAAAACUUCCGCUAUGCGUAGGGUUCGGGGAAGUGCCCCACCAUAAAGGUAUUGUGUUAGGUUCAAAAGCAAGAAGACGUCAUGCGGAAGCUAUUAUUUGUAAACUAUGAGACGAUAAAUCAGACAACAAAAAAAACAAUACUAAAAAGCAUAAAAUUAUUAUAUGUUUUGACCAAUUGGACUACAUAUAAUAAAACCUAAUAUUAAAAACAUAAAAAUUAAUGAGAGAGGAAAUCUCUCUCUAAACAAAUUAAAACUCUUAAACGACUAUACUGUGGAUGCUACUGUGUUAUGGUAUGAGAAGAGAGGGUCUUCUAUUUAUAAAGUUCCAAAAUCUUUCCUCUUAUUAGCCAAAUAUGGAAAAGUUUUAUAGUUUUCUUUUAGGAAAAUUAAAAGUAAUUAUGGUAUUAUUUUUAUUUUUCUUUCAAGAAAAGUAAAACUUAAUUUUGGAAAGAAAAUCAGGGCCAAAACCCUAACAUAUUGUACGCAACCUUACCUUGCAUUUCUGUCUGAGGUUGUUUUCAAGAUUUGAACCCAUGACGUCACAUGGUAGCAACUUUACCAGUUACUCCAACGUUCCCCUUCAAAAUAUUUGUUAUUAAAGUUUCUACAUAAAUAUUGUUUAAUAUAUUUGAUCUUAUGGAGUAUCUACAUAAAUAUUGUUAAAUGCUUUUGAAAUAAUAUUUUUUUACUUGCUUAUCAAAGACUAAAAAGUAAAUUAAAUCCACCUGUUUUUCAGAAAAAAUAUUUUCUAGGAAAUCAUUUUCCUUCCUACCAAACACAUCCAUAAUCUUCUGUAAACGUACUAAAACUUUAGAUUUAAACUCUUCAAAAGUUCCCCAAUAAAAUCCAAUAAGACUCACUUGAAUUAAAUCACUACUUCACAAACCUAUUUCUCAAACUUAAAAGCUCAAGUUUAACAAUAAGUCAAUAACCAUUCUCAAAUUCACACAUAAUAGAAAGGAUCUCAUAGAUUUACUAAAAUACCUUAAGCUAAAUAAAAGUUAUCAAUGAUUACUAUUUAAAAUAAUUUAAGACAAUUUUAUGGUGCUAAUUUGUCACAAAUCAUGCUUUAUAAACAUAGCUAUUAAAUUAUUCUUGCAUAUUCAGACAAAAUUAAUGAAAAUGGGAUUUAUUGAAAACAAACUCAAGCCAAAUCCAAACACAAUUAAAUUCAUGCACCUAAGUGAAAGAACAUCAUUAAACUAUUACAUAGCACACACGCUACCUAGCUAUCCCUCCAUUCCAUUUUAGUUAUUUUCUCUUAUUUUUCAUAAGUCAAUUUGACUAAGUUCCAAAGUUAAAUUAGAUUAGAUUGAUUUAAUUUUUUAAAUUAAAAUUUAGAUGUUCAAAAACUACAUGAAAAGUAUUAUAUAUUGUAAUUUUCCCUUUUUUUCAUUUGAUUAAGCAAUACAUUUUCGGAAACAGUCUUUCUACUUUUCCGGAGGUAGUGGUAUGGAUUGCGUACAUCUUACCCUCUCCAGACCCAUCCACUAUGUGAGAAUACACUAGAUUUAUUGUUGUUGAUUAAGCAAUACAUCUUCAAAAUUUAUGUCGUUUGACUGUAAAAAAAAAACAGAAUGAUCCACACCAAAGAAAGAAAAACGAAGCAUGCAACUCAAACACAGCGUAGAAAGAGACAAAGAUGAUCAAAGAAAUAAAGAGUGGACGUACAAAGCAAGAAGAUGACGAUGCGAAAAACGGAAAACGUAGGCUAAGAUAUGAUCGGGUGGAGAGGAGUUACAGGAUAAAUUUUACAAUAGAAUUAUGAAAUAUUAAAGAGAGAUAUAAUUGAAAAGAUAAAUCAUAUAACGACAUGUUACAUAAAAUCAGACUUUUUAAUAUUAGAAGACCAACUUAAAUAAUACGAUGCAAUUAAUAAUUUUAAAUUACAAUCAAAAUAAACAUGAUAUAUAUUUAUAAUAACUAAUAAUGAUACAACGGGUAAAUUAAACGAUCCAAACAAGGUGCUAUUAUAAGAACAAGUAGUGUGUCCAAAUUAAAUUAGAGUUAAAUGGUGAUCGAUGUAGAGGUACCCACGAAUACGAUGGAGGUGCAGUAUCCCUCGUAAUAAAGAAAGAGAAAACCAAAAUUAGCAUGACAUUAUUGUCAUCUUUGUUAGCUAUAUAAGGCACAUAUCAUGCGAUAAUAUAUACUAAACCAAAGAAAAAUCCAAAACUUAAUGUACCAUUGUCAUCUUUGCUAGCUAUAUAAGGCACAUAUCAUGCAAUAAUAUAUGCUAAACGUAAGAAAAAACCAAAAUUAACAAAACAUAUUUAUCCACAAAUUCUUAGGCACUUUAUCCACCGUUAGCCAUAUCUAAAUUAGUAUAAAUACACUACACUCGAUUUACAAUUAUAUUCAUUCCAUUAAGAAAAGGUCUAGUAUACAAAUUAAGGAAAUUAAAUUAAGUUAUAAUCAUGAAGGCUGUUGCAGUAGUACUAGUUCUAGUUGUGCUGGCCGCGGUUAAGCUAGCCAUGGCUGGGGAUGAACAGUGGGGAAUCACUUGUGGUCAAGUUGACGCUAAUGUAGCACCCUGUGUCUCGUACCUGACACAGGGUGGUGAGCCCGGUGCAGCUUGCUGCAGCGGGGUAAAAACCUUGAGUGGUUUGGCUAAGUCUACUGAUGAAAGGAGGACAGCUUGCAACUGUCUUAAGGCUGCAGCAAAUCGAUACCCCAACCUUAAAGAUGAUGCUGCACAGGCUCUCCCUAGCAAGUGCGGUGUAGCCCUCAACGUCCCUAUCUCCAGGACCAUCAAUUGUGACACGUAAGAAUUUAACU
rnacentral:lncRNA from 1 species